GCGGCUGGCAGGGAGCUGCGGUGCCGCAGUGGGAGGGGGACUGCGAAGAUGAAGCAUCCAGAGUGAAUUGCAAAACAUCCCAAAACAGAGGUGAUUUCCAUUGGCCUAUCAAAACAAAAAGUCAUCCUAAUAGCCCUCAGAACUGGCCUCAACCGGCAAAGUGAACGAAGCACAACCAUGCUCAAACUGUGACAACUUUGGGAACAACUUGCUAUGUUAAGAUAGCCACAUAUCUUAAAGAGGUGCCUGUUUUCUUCACCCUACAGGGAUCCCUGCUUGCCGCCCAGCUCAGAUGAGGAAGGAUGCCCUGCAGCUGUCUGCACAGGAUCCCUGAUAACAACAGCUGAGGUGAACGUGGCAAGGCAAGCCUGGGAAGAUAGACUGAAAUGUACUGUGGAAGAAGUUUAAAAUUAUCCAGACAGUGAUUUAUCACAUUCAGUCAGAGACCGUCUCUUUUAGCACUUCGGGCUCCCAAACAUGAGAAAGAUGGACAACCAUAGUGUAAUGUAAGUGUUCAUAUUGGAAUGGACAGUUGGAAUUCAUCUAGUCCAACCUCCUUCUCAAAGCAAGGGUAAGUUCAAAGACUGGGCUGACAUUCAAGAAUGAGAGCUUCUCUGAAUCGCUCAAAUGAAGGAAAAUGGAGCCAGAAUGAUAAGCAAUAAUCAUACAGAAUGAGGAAGGACCUGGGUAAAACAUGGAAAAAGCUAGUGAAGAAGGGCAUAAAUUGGAUGGAGAUGACUAGCUUUGACUCUACCACAUUUGUUGGUUCUCACUGGCCACAGAUCAAUGCCCUGUGGACUUUUUGUUUUCCCAGACUUCUCUCUGGAUUGCUCUAGGACCUCCCAUUGAUGUAAUCAUCCUUCAUUUUGGUUACACAAGUUGAAUUACUCUGCCAGAAUCUUUCCAUCUUCUUUUAGUAAUUCCUUAUAUUUAUUCCUGAGAACAUUACAUGUUAAAUAGCAUGAGGCUUAAGAGCUAUGCAAAAGAGCAGCUGGGUCUUCUGAUACAUUAUCCCACUAGGAUCAUAUUUACAAAAUAAAAAGGAACAUGUUUCUCCACUGGUCAUUCCUUUUUUUCCGUAAGAAACAGAUUAAGGUGUCUUCAGCGCUACUUCAGAGAUAUGAUAGUGUUUAUACUGCAGUAGAGAGGCACUGCUUGGCCCCAGAAGCCUAAAAUAAUAACAUUUAUUGAGACUAAGUAGUUUAAAAUACAGAAAUUAUUUCACAUGUAAAGUAAGGAAAAUAUGUUGACUUAGUAUUGACAAAUGUAUUUAGUUAAGCUAUUAAAAUAUAUGCAGAUAAUACUGCAGUAUUUCCUGUAAUCAGCAAACCUUUUCUAUGAUGCUAACUAAUCCCUGAGGAAUUUUUUAAUGAAUUUUUUUAUUCUUUAAGAAAAAAAUGUAUUAUUAUUAUUAUUGCUAUCAUCAUCUUCAUUUAUCCUUUUAAAAUAUUAGCAAACUUUUUGCUAGGGAAAAAUACAACUCAU